ACAACAGAUAAUUCGGUUUAAUCAUCUUCUCCGCCUCCAUUUGUUUCUUCCUCCUCAACCCCAAGCAAACCACCUUCUUUUCCGGUUAUUUCCUCCGUCACAACUUUGAUUGCCGUUGAUGGAUUCCAGUUGCAUAACACCUUCAUCAUCAUCAUCAACUAAAUCACUAAGCUUCAAUUAUCACUCUUCUCUGAUUCUCAUAUCUCAGCAGCCGUCUAAUCUUUGGUUUCGAGACCUCUGGGAAAUCAGAAUCACCAAAUAGUAAUUAAAGGUCAAUUAAUCAAUAAGACACACAAAGGUACUAAUACUGUUGAUUAGUAAAGUAGAACUGGAGUCGGAUGCGCUGCUGGUGGUGCAAUUGGCUUUGAUGGAGACGUAGUUGGAGGUGGUGCUGGUGGAAGUGGAGGAUUAGGUUUUAGAGUAUGAUAUGCUUUUGUGUUGGUGAUGGAAUUGGUGACUUUGAAGUGGUGGACGAGAAUUUAGUUUCUCAUAUUGGGUACUGUAUAUUUAUUUGAUCUUCUCCUGUAAGUCUUCACAUAUUUUUUUUUUUGAGGAACAUAAUGGUUUGGAUACUUUGUUGCGACUGAAAAUGCUAUGGUUUGUUGAGGUAUGCUCUUUUAAGUUGUUGGUUAGGCCAUUUUAUACAAAUUUGUCAGAGAUAUGCUCAAAGCA